GUUUUUAGAUAGAAGAGAACUAUUGCGUAUGUUCAUAGGUUUGCUAGACUUUUGGAAACUUACAACAUAGCUCUAGACAAAGGCGUAUUCGGCUAGACGUGCGUUCAGUGUACAGCAACAGAUCACAAGGCGUGAGCAAGUGCCACUCUGCCUGGAUUGCGUCUUCCAGUUCAUGAACGUUUUGAGACCUAGGAAGCUCAACACGCCGCUUGAUGAUGACCGCCCAAAAGUUUUCUAUUUCGUGCAAGAUCCGGUGAGCUAUCAGGUCAAUCGAAAAACCGUGGCGCCUGAAGUCUCAUUUUUCUAGCUUCACUAUCAGUGGAAUUUAAUUCUAAGGCAUCAUGUAGCAAUACUUGCGUCAUGAAGUUCUCUGCUGCUGGUGGAAGAACUGCAUGACGACAACUUCAUGCGCUGCAAGCUGAUGUGCAACUAGUUGCUUGGUCUUCAACAAGAAGCUCUGCGUUGAAUUCCUUCUUCAGUGUCCAGUCUUUGGAGAGUUCAGUAAACAGUAGAGAGAGAAACACGUAAAAGUUGACAGAUCUCAGAUGGUUUCCUAGUACUGGAGCGGUAAAGUUACAGACUAUCGCGGCAUUGUCUUUCAAGACUCGUUUCAUGAUGGAUAAGCUCUCUACGCAGAUGCGCAUACUAUGGAAUAGCUUUUGUGACUGUUUUUCAGCUGUUUGAGAAAAAAUUGGCACGGAUUCUUAGUAAAUAGCAAAACUAGAAAACUUUCCAAAAAUAGUACAAGUACACCGAAAAUGUGUCAAUAGUUUUGACGCAGACUGUAAUACAGAUA